GAAGUCUCCCUUCAUCAAAAGAAGGAAGAUUGAUGAUAGUGGAUCUCCAUUUACUACUAGUACUGUAGAGUCCAUUGCAGUUUAUGUUGAAGCUAGCACUAUAAAGCUCUUCACUGUAUUUAAAGAUUGGAUCGAAACAAAAUACUUUGUCAAUAGCAAUAGCGGUCAUGUUUAUGGAUUGGUAAAGACUAUCCUUCGUUAAUCAGUUGACUACACCGGAUGGCCAUCAGUUAUUACUUGCACCAAUUGCAAGAAUGGUGAGGCCAUGAGAGCGAUUCUCGAGGAUGUACAGUGGUCUCAAGUCUUUUCAGGGGAGAUUGUUGGAGAUAUUCAUGAUAUUCAGUCAAAGGAAAUUUUUGCAAAGGCUAGGUAUGCUAUGACAAAUGGCUUUAGAGAUGAUGCUGUUAAAACUUUUAUACUCUAUCUGGUGGACUGCAUAUUGAG